rnacentral:rRNA from 1 species
UACGGAGGAUCCGAGCGUUAUCCGGAUUUAUUGGGUUUAAAGGGUGCGCAGGCGGGAGAUUAAGUCGGCGGUGAAAUUUUGCAGCUCAACUGUAAAAGUGCCUUCGAAACUGGUUUCCUUGAGUGUAGAUGAAGUAUGCGGAAUUUGUGGUGUAGCGGUGAAAUGCAUAGAUAUCACGAGGAACUCCGAUUGCGCAGGCAGCUUACUAAACUACUACUGACGCUCAGGCACGAAGGCGUGGGGAUCAAACAGGAUUAGAUACCCU